rnacentral:lncRNA from 1 species
CUCAUUUGUCAAAGGGAUGCUUUAAAGAUAAUUCCCUUUGCCUGCAGCUCCUGCUCGUGUGCGAAGACAGCUCUUCUGUCUUUAGGACUAAGGGAAAAGAGACUGCACAGUUUUCAAUCAGAAAUCUUCAGGCCCACAGGUUUGGUCCAAGGUGCCAGAGUCUGUAUGCUCUCUUUGUGACUGGCCUGGAUGGAAGAUGAAGCAAUCCAUACCUUAUAAAUUGGACUGUCCACACCACAGACAGCUUUCUCAAACUCUCCUGUACACAGCUCCACAUCCUCGCCUUAGAGUUAUACAAAGGCUGAAUUAAGUAUACAGGGUGUUCUGCAAUGAUCACUGGAGCCGGUCCUUAGCUGGAAGAGAAUUCUCAACACCUGCUUUCACUUUUGUUGUUCAGGGCUGGAUUAAAGGCAUUUAAAAGGACAAAGUCAGCUCCUGGGGAGAAGAGGAAGUGCCAGACAAUCGUAGGAUGUUAGUGGCUAAUUGUUUUACCGACACCUUCUCACUUUUUAGCUGAAAAGCAAAGACUUAUGCAAAGCCCAAACCACCACACCAAACGGAAGGAUCUUUAGGAAAACAAGGAGACAGAUUGUUGAUGCUAAAAUGUAGAUGGGCCUUUCUCAGACCAUUACAGUCGAGGUUUAAAAUAGUAGGCUCUGACCCCUUGCUAGGAGGUUAAAAGUGAUUGAAAACCCCAGGUCUUUUGAAACUGUCUAGGCUGGCGGCAAACCUUGAGUUUGUCUUUAUGACCUUUGCACGUGUAAAUAUAGGGGAGUUAUUUUGGACGGCUUUAAAAGAGUGUUAUAAAAAGCAAGUUUUCAGGCUUUUGUCCUUGAGGGAAAAGUUCCCUUUUUGCUUGAGUUAGGAAUUGCCUUUCUCUGAUGGUUUUCUGUGAUUAGCACUCGUUGGACACUUAAAGUAUUUCUUAUCGGGUGAUAUAAUUGGAUCUCCUAUGUUUUGUGUCUUCAAAUGUAUCCCUGAGCGGCCGCCUUGAGAAAGCAUUUAGGCGAAACACUUGUUAAUGGAUUUCUUUCUAUCCCGGGUUUACUUCUGAUGCAACAAUAAUCGCAGACGUUUCCAAAGUGCUUUGUGUGCUCAAACACAGCAGCAUUCUUUGUGAAAGAAUGGUAAUUCUGAAACCACUCUCCUCAUCUCACUGUGCAGCGCUCUGUGCAGUAGACUUGACUACGGCAGCCAAGGGAGAACCUGGGAAGGCUUCAGGAGUUGGUUCUCCUCCCAACCUCACUGGUUUCUGGGGAUCGAACUCUGGUUCUCAGUACCACAUUCCAGGCAGGCGUUUUUAACCCACCCAGCUAUCUCACGCGCCGGCUCUGUCUUUGGUACAUCUAGAUCUCAGAGAGGAUUAGUAACUUGGAUCCCUCUAAUUUACAUUCCAAUAGACAUUACUAAAUGCUUCACUUUUCUCCCAGAAGCACGCAGGCAAACAUUUGGUAUUAGUAAAUUUCAGGUUGGGGGGGGGAGGGGGAGGGGGAGUAAUUUUAACCAUUUUAGGUAAAUAAUAGUAUCUCAAUUUUACUUGUUUUUUUUUUCUCCCCAGUUACUAAUGAGUUGGAAUCAUUUUUAGUGUGUGCUUGAGGUUAAAACAGAUACUGAGAAUUAUUUUUUAAUUAUAACUUAUUUUUACAUGUGUUUUAAUUAAAAAGUAUGUAUUUAUGUAUGUUUUAAUUAUAAAUUAUGUCUCUUAGUAACCCAGUUUUAGUGCCUGGAUUCACUUAUGUUGUUGUUAUUCAGAAAGAUGAAAGGCUUUCUAAUUCCUACUCAUCUAUAACCAUCUCAUAGUGUUUAAUAAAAAGAUAUCAGUGGCCAACAGAGACUAC